rnacentral:rRNA from 1 species
UCGUUAACGAACGAGACCUCGACCUGCUAAAUAGUUUGGUGAAUGCUCCGGCAUUUAUUUACGACUUCUUAGAGGGACUAUCGGUGAUUUAGCCGAUGGAAGUUCGAGGCAAUAACAGGUCUGUGAUGCCCUUAGAUGUCCUGGGCCGCACGCGCGCUACACUGAUACGUUCAUCGAGCUUACAACCUUGGUUGAGAGGCCUGGGUAAUCUUUUUAAACCGUAUCGUGCUGGGGAUAGAUUAUUGUAAUUUUUAAUCUUCAACGAGGAAUUCCUAGUAAACGCUGGUCAUCAACCAGCAUUGAUUACGUCCCUGCCCUUUGUACACACCGCCCGUCGCUAAUACCGAUUGAAUGGAUA